rnacentral:rRNA from 1 species
UGGGGAAUUUGGACAAUGGGGGCAACCCUGAUCCAGCAAUGCCGCGUGUGUGAAGAAGGCCUUCGGGUUGUAAAGCACUUUUGUCCGGAAAGAAAACGCCGUGGUUAAUACCCGUGGCGGAUGACGGUACCGGAAGAAUAAGCACCGGCUAACUACGUGCCAGCAGCCGCGGUAAUACGUAGGGUGCAAGCGUUAAUCGGAAUUACUGGGCGUAAAGCGUGCGCAGGCGGUCCGCUAAGACAGAUGUGAAAUCCCCGGGCUUAACCUGGGAACUGCAUUUGUGACUGGCGGGCUAGAGUAUGGCAGAGGGGGGUAGAAUUCCACGUGUAGCAGUGAAAAUGCGUAGAGAUGUGGAGGAAUACCGAUGGCGAAGGCAGCCCCCUGGGCCAAUACUGACGCUCAUGCACGAAAAGCGUGGGGGAGCAAAACAGGAUUCAGAUACCCUGGUAGUCCACGCCCUAAACGAUGUCAAACUA